UACAGAGGGGGCGAGCGUUGUUCGGAAUUACUGGGCGUAAAGGGCGCGUAGGCGGCCUGUUAAGUCGAAUGUGAAAUCCCCAGGCUCAACCUGGGAACUGCGUCCGAUACUGGCAGGCUUGAAUCCGGGAGAGGGAUGUGGAAUUCCAGGUGUAGCGGUGAAAUGCGUAGAUAUCAGGAGGAACACCGGUGGCGAAGGCGGGUCUCUGGGCCGUAACUGACGCUGAGGAGCGAAAGCGUGGGGAGCGAACAGG
rnacentral:rRNA from 1 species